AGCGAACGCUGGCGGCAGGCCUAACACAUGCAAGUCGAGCGGGCACCGCAAGGUGUCAGCGGCAGACGGGAGAGUAACACGUGGGAACGUGCCCUUCGGUUCGGAAUAACUCGGGGAAACCCGAGCUAAUACCGGAUACGCCCUUACGGGGAAAGAUUUAUCGCCGAUGGAGCGGCCCGCGUCUGAUUAGCUAGUUGGUGAGGUAACGGCUCACCAAGGCGACGAUCAGUAGCUGGUCUGAGAGGAUGAUCAGCCCCACUGGGACUGAGACACGGCCCAGACUCCUACGGGAGGCAGCAGUGGGGAAUCUUGCGCAAUGGGCGAAAGCCUGACGCAGCCAUGCCGCGUGAAUGAUGAAGGUCUUAGGAUUGUAAAAUUCUUUUACCAGGGACGAUAAUGACGGUACCUGGAGAAAAAGCCCCGGCUAACUUCGUGCCAGCCGCCGCCGUAAUAC
rnacentral:rRNA from 1 species